GCUUUUCUAAUCAUUAUUCUCGAAGAUAGAUAUCUCUCUUUCUCUCUCAGUGUUCUAAACCCUCUGCUUAUGCAUCGAAUUCCACCAUUUUGUUUUGUUCUCUCACUAUAUUAAUUAUUGAAAGUGAAAAAUUUAGUCUCUAAUUCUCUAUCUCUAUUUAGUGUUUCUCUCUAAGAUUUGUUUUUUGGUUUCUGGAUUUUUCAAACAUUUGUUCCAAGAAUCUUUGGGUCUAAAGGGAGAUAUUGGAGAAAAAGCAAUUUAUUCGUUGCCUCAGGAUGUCGUCACACGUUAACGUACCCCGGAGGGAUGCUAUAUCCUACAAAAGUCAGACUCAAGCUUAUGGGUAUUCAAAAGAGUAGAAAGGAGGAAGAAGAAUCUCAAGACUUGUUACGAUUUGAAACUCAAGAUCUUGAUGACCAAGUCUUGCGCGCCCAUAUACAAAAUGGAUACCUAUAUUUACAAAUGUCAAAGCAUGGUGUUGCUCCAUUCAGGAUAAGUUGGAAAGGACCUCACCUUGUUGCGCAGCAGGACAACUGAUUUUGAAACUUCUGGUUCAUGAAAUAGUGUCUGAAGUUCUACGGUGAAGUUGGAGGAUUGAGGAUUAUGUGCGUGCUCAUGAGUGUGCCAUGCUGAUGGACAUCAAUAUUGUGUUAGAAGGCUUAUCAUCUUGAACGAGGGGGUUUAAAGUAAAAAUAUUCAGUCCUUUGGUAGAAGAUGAAACGUAAAACUAGGUGGUAGAGUUGGGAUUUACGCUAGUAGUAUUGGCUCAUGUUUGGGACAAUUCCAUGCCGAAUGAAAAGAACAGUAUGUUAUGUCAGGAGUGGAGGUCUUGCUGUUCAACCAUUGCGUGCAUGUUUACAGCUCUGUUGUAGGAAGCUUGGUUGCUGGCUGUACAGGAACAUGCAUAGUUUAGUAUUUCACCCCCAUCAUGAUGCAUGGAGGACAUGUCCAUCUUCAAUGCCAUAAAAGAAGUUCAUUUGCAUAGAGGGUGUGGAAUAAAGGGAGUUGUCAACCCCAGCUGCGCCUCCUAUUUCCGAGCCUUCAAUAAUCGAAGGCAUCGGUGCAUUUAUCACCGAGGCUAUGGAUGAAUAUCAUGCUGCAACAUAGAGAGCUUGGUCAUGUGCACAUGUUUUGCUUCAUUUGGCGAGGUUCUCAUUUGAAACUGAAGGAACUAAGCAGGCAUUAGCAAUUGCUUUUUGUAAAGCUGCAUUUUCAUGUUCUCUUGACAUUCAAAGCAAGCUAGUGGCUUUGAGGAAGCCGCUUUUGCUCGUUAUUGCAUCUCGUUGUAUAUGUUUCCUUGAUUAUAUAAAAAAGGUUUUGGAGAA